UUGAUUUUAAAUGGAGAUUGUCCCUCUCUAUCUAUAACACUUUAACUUGUAACGAAACCCAGUUAAAUUUGCUUUAUCUUGGAAUCAAAAUAGAUCUAUCCUUUUUAUCUCUAUGUUCUUCUGCUAAAAUGUUAGCUGAUUACUUGCCAAUGAAGAAUGAGAAUUCAUUAAUCAAAGAAAUACUCAUCAAUGAAUAGGAACAUAAGAACCCAUUUGUAUCUUUAACCCCUUUUCAUCUCUCCUAUUUCACUUUACUAUCACAAACGCAACGCUCUAUCUCUACUUUCAUUUUUAAACAAUCAUUUUUUCCUCUUUGUGUCAAAAUCUCAUAUCUUUUUCUCGUCCUCUUUACCAAACUCUCCAACACCAAACCAUGAGGACAUUCUCUGGCUUUGUGAAUAACAAUGGUGGCUUCAAGAGCAGCAGCGAUGGCUCCAGGAGCGCGAGUCUCUGCUUGCGAAAUUCAAUUGCUGAAGCUCCAAAUUCAAGCUCUAGAGAAACUAAUUUCGAUGCAAGAUCAUAUUUUGUGCCAGAUAUGAUAAUGAAUGUUAGGGCUUUGUUAUCGAUUUUGACGAAGAAGAAUCUCUAUAAAAUUUUUUCCGUCUUGUUUAUUCUCGAUUAAAAAGAGAGAGGGAUAGGACCCUGAGAUAUGGGUAAGGAUUUAUGGUCAAUUCUUGUUAACAGGGUCUUUAAUCCACGUGGCAAUCCAUGUGAAAUCCUAUUUGGCACCUAAUAAGUAAA
rnacentral:lncRNA from 1 species